CCUACGGGUGGCAGCAGUGAGGAAUAUUGGGCAAUGGCCGGAAGGCUGAACCAGCCAUGCCGCGUGAAGGACAGGGCCCUAUGGGCGUUAAACUUCUUUUGUGCGGGAGCAAUAAUGGUCACGUGUGGCCAGACGAGAGUACCGUACGAAUAAGCAUCGGCUAACUACGUGCCAGCAGCCGCGGUAAGACGGGGGAUGCAAGCGUUAUCCGGAUUUAUUGGGGUUAAAGGGGGCGUAGGUUGUGAGGUAAGUCAGCGGUGAAAUGCCCCGGCUCAACGGGGUGAAGUGCCAUUGAUACUGCCUGGCUGGAGUGCGGAUGCGGUGGGAGGAAUGUGUGGUGUAGCGGUGAAAUGCAUAGAUAUCACACAGAACACCGAUUGCGAAGGCAUCUCACGAAUCCGCGAUUGACGCUGAUGCACGAAAGCGUGGGUAUCAAACAGGAUUAGAUACCCCAGUAGUC
rnacentral:rRNA from 1 species